rnacentral:rRNA from 1 species
GUGGAUUAGAUACCCUGGUAGUCCACGCCGUAAACGAUGGAUGCUAGCCGUUGGAUAGCUUGCUAUUCAGUGGCGCAGCUAACGCAUUAAGCAUCCCGCCUGGGGAGUACGGCCGCAAGGUUGAAACUCAAAGGAAUUGACGGGGGCCCGCACAAGCGGUGGAGCAUGUGGUUUAAUUCGACGCAACGCGCAGAACCUUACCAGGGUUUGACAUCCUGUGCUCGGCCUGGAAACAGGCUUUCCCCGCAAGGGGCGCAGAGACAGGUGCUGCACGGUCGUCGUCAACU